rnacentral:other from 12 species
GCCAUGGCGUUAGUAUGAGUGUCGUGCAGCCUCCAGGCCCCCCCCUCCCGGGAGAGCCAUAGUGGUCUGCGGAACCGGUGAGUACACCGGAAUCGCUGGGGUGACCGGGUCCUUUCUUGGAUCAACCCGCUCAAUACCCAGAAAUUUGGGCGUGCCCCCGCGAGACUGCUAGCCGAGUAGUGUUGGGUCGCGAAAGGCCUUGUGGU